GCAGCGCAUGUCGACACAGACCCACCCUGCCCAGGGGCCGCAGGGAGGGGUCGGCAGCCACGCGGAGCGAGCAGGAAGGAAGCCGCUCAGCUCCGCUGCGCUGCCGGUGGAAUAUUGGGAAUGCCAAGCUUUGUUGCCUCUGUUUGGAUGGAGGUCUCUCUCCUUGGAGAGCCAGAGAAGAGAAGUCUGCUCCCAAUGGAAAAAAAUGAACCAGGACGUGGCCCUGAGGGAAUAAAUGUGUCCCCAAAGAGGCAGCAGCUACGUCUCUGAAAUCAAAAG